rnacentral:lncRNA from 1 species
AUCCCCUCAGCCUCCCCAGGAGAUGUUGCUUGAAACCUUCUGAAUUAUUAUUAUUAUUAUUACUAUUAUCAUUAUCAUCAUCCUUUCUGGUUGUUGAUAGGCAGUGAAACGUCUCAGCUCCGCAUGCUGUAGAAAUGCACCACCUGCCCCCUUCUCAUCCCGCCCCACGGUCGCUGAGCCAGGCUGUCGCCCUUCUGCCAGCCCUGGAUUCCCGAUCCAUUGCUAUAACCACCCCCUCCCGUUCUUUCACCUACCUACCCCGGGUGACUUCCAGGGAACGGCUGGCGUGAGACUGACCCAGGUCAUGUGACCACACGGAACACAGUUGGUGCACCCCUGGAAAAGAAAGAAGGGGAGACCCAGUCAGAACUCAGCAGUGUCUUCCUUCUUAGGGAUCCCAGAAACCUACAGCGAAAUUCAGAUUCAAGUGUGGAAGCAAAGCAUCGAGGGGAGAGGGGGCUAAGUAACAAAGAAAGAACAGGCGGACGAAUGAAAGAAAGGAAGGGAGAGAAGCACUAGGGCGGAAAUGAGAGGCUGAGCACAAGCCUCCGGACAGAGUCUGCGGCACUGCAGCAAGUGGGGGCAGUGAGCUACAGAGUGUGCGCCCAUGAUGCCUGCAACCAUGGAGCAUCUACACGUAGGAAGACAGGGGAUGGGAACGGAAUUAACCAAGAUGAAAACAGAUGCAUGAUAGGCUGUCAGGAUCACAGUAGUAUUUCCUCCAUUUUCUGGACUUUCUGUUCUCCACCGUCUUAAUAACAGAAAAGUGGAAGGAGUGAGGACGGGGAGUGUGGAUGAGGUGGGGCCAUGGCUGUCCCUUCCAAUUCCCUCCCACCCCAGAUCCCAGGCUUUCCCAGCUGGGAAAGGAAGCCUGGCGCUUUAUCUUCAGUUGGGUGUCCCGUGGUCUCUUCACCCAGAGUCCACUGGGCUUGAAGGAUGAGCAGAAGAAAAGUGGAAGCCAUGGAGAGGUGUCUGUAGGGCUGGGCGGAUCCCAGAGACCCUGGCGAGAAUUCCUUCUAAGUCAAGAAUUGCAGGAACAGCUCAGGACUGUUCUUAAGUCACUUAUCCUGGAGGUUCAAAUUCAACUUCUUUUUGAAUUGAAGUUAUUUUCUCCCUUUUUUUAUUGUACUGCCACCCCACCCCCACCCCCCAAUGGCAGCACAAAGGAAAUGAGUCUGGCCUGCAAAGAAUGAGGCAAAGAACCAAAAACGUCCCAUUGUCUAGAGGACAAUUAAGUACACAAAGCUUCGGGCUCUGAUGUCCCCUAGAUUUGAGUUGUCAUCCGCAUUUGGCAAUUUGGUUAACCCUGCUGGGCCUCAACCAUCUCCAGGGCUAAAUGAGGGUCAUUUAUCCUGCCUCGUUGGGUUGUGAUGAGAGUGAGAGGAAGCAUCUAGCGUUUGCAAUGUGUGUAAGAUGCUUUGAGCAUUUAAAUAGUCACAGGUGUAGUUCCCACUCCCUUCUGACCCCAGGAUUCCCACGCCUUCCUGUUCUCUUCCCUGGGCCUCUUCUACUUCCAAAGAACAGAGACUAACCCUCUGAGAUUACAUUCCUUGUUAUCACACGCCUUCGGGUAUGCCAUUGAUUAAAUCACAACCCAUAAAAUGUUCCAACCUCACACAAUAACAAAGUCUUGUAAAACACACUUGCCUGACAAGUUUCCUGUACCGAAAGCAGGUGUCGGGGAGCUGGGGAGGAAUGCUCACCAGGCCAGGACCCAGGGGGGUUCCAAGCUGAGGAACAUGCCACAAACACGUGGAGAGACUGAGCAAAGACACUGCUUCUCAGGUCUGUUUUCUCACCUAUAAAAUGUAGGGAAAUGAUCAGGAAUUUUAAAACACUCGGAACCAGAACUUUAAAAUUCUUCUCUGUUCCAACAGAAUCUUAACCAAAACCGAGAUACUCUGGUUGCGGCAGGGGCAGCGCCUGGUGACCCCUCCCGACUUGGUGGCUCUUGCUCCAUGAAGGUUGACCUUGAGGCUCAUCUGCAAAGUCACAGAACAGAAUUGGAAAGCACAGAUUUUUACACUGUCGUGAGCCACUUUGCAAUCUAAUAGUCCACAAUUAUACAGAUUUCUGUUCUACUUUGUCAAUAGCUAGACACGACAUGACUAUUUUUUUCGUUCCUUUUUUUUUUUUUUUUUUUUUUUUUUUAAGGAGCACGGGUGUGGCAUAUGGACAUUCCCAGGCUAGGGGUCAAAUCGGAGCUACAGCUUCCGGCCUACACCACAGCCACAGCAACACCAGGUCUGAGUUGCUGGCAGCCUACACCAUAGUUCACAGCAACAGCAAUGCUGGUUCCUUAAUCCAGUGAGCAAGGCCAGGGAUCGAACUCAUGUCUUCAUGGAUACUGGUUGGGUUCAUUACCACUGAGCCACAAUGGGAACUCCCAAGAUAUGACCAUUUAUUUUUUUAAAGUAUUUUCUUUUCUUUUUUUUUUUUUUUUUUUUUUUCUUUUCAGGGCUGCACCUGCGGCAUAUGGAUAUUCCCAAGCCAGGGGUCCAAUUGCCAGGGCAACACCAGAUCCUUAAUCCACUGAGCAAAGCCAGGGAUUGAACCCACAUCCUCAUGGACACUAUGUUGGGUUCUUAACCCACAGAGCCACAAUGGGAACUCCAUAUUUUCAAUUUAUAUCAAAGUAUGUUAUCACAUUGCUUCCGUCAUGUCCAUUUAUUGACAUUUUAAAAAUAUUCAAAUCAUAAUAUUGCCUUCCUGAGUGCCUGUCACUUCCUCCCCUCCCCCCUUCCCUUCCCUCCUCCUCCUCCCUCUUCUUCUUCUUCUCCUCUGAUUGUUUUAUUGUUCUCAUUGCUGCCCUUUCCCAGGAAAAAACUUCCCCUCUGGCUGACACUCUCCAUUGCUGAACUUCUCAGCCAGCUUCCACCCCAGGAUUGCCUUGUGUCUUAGAGAGAGAGGAAGGAGGCAGGCAAGGUAGAUGCUGGAUGCUCGUCACUGGGGAAUGCUUCUCCCUCUCCCCCAGGUGGUGUUUCUCAUUCCUAUUUCUGUCCCAAGCUCCUCCCCUCCCCUGGACCUCCUCUAAACUGGUCCAAGGCCCCCCUGGCAGUGGCGUUACCUCGGAGGCUUUUUAAAAGCACAGAUUCCUGGGUCUCAUCCCGUAUCUCCUGAAAUCAGAAUCUCUGAGGUUGGAAUCGAGGGAAGGCGAUGACAAAAUGAGCUCCCCAAGUGAUGUUUCAUCUCCUUACAUUUUGAAAACCACCUUUCAAGCCUCUCUCCCCAGUUUCUCCCAUCCCUCCACCUCCCUCCUUUGCUCUCAGUUUUCAUCCUAAUCACCAGCUAACUGGUGGAUGUCACUGCUACUUAAAUGUGCUCCCACUCUGGAUCCCUAAUCAUUCCCAUUGUGCUCCUCAAAGCUGAGUCAAGAAUGGCUGCCUUUUUAUCCCCCCCUCUCUCUACAUUAUAGAAGGAAGCAGGUCCCUGCCGCUUUUGUCAUCCCUCCUUCUGGGCCGAGCUCCAUUUGCUGGUGAACAGGGCUUAUCUUCACUCUCCCCCUCGAAAUACUGUAACAUUGAGCAUCCUUUCAUGUCUGUGCUUUUAAAGUAAAUCUUUGGACAAUUAAAGAUAUGAAAUGGCUAAAUAGAGUUCUGCGGGCGUUGUUCUCUCCUUUUUAAAGGUUUAAUCACACUUAAUGGCUCUCUUCAAAACUUGAAUUUUCCAUUUUGGUGUUUUGACUCCAUUGAAAGAGUUUACUAAUAUUCUUUCAAAAGUAUUCUCUGCUCAAAUGAGCUAUUCAAUAAAGUUUUAUGGCAGGCUAUAGGAUUGACGGCUAAAUGGAAAAUAAUUUAAAGGGAGAUCAGCAUCAGGGGUGCCGUUCAUUGCUACGGUUUUUGUUAGUCAAACCAUCAUCGUCAAUAUCGAGUCCAUUAAAAGUCGAUGGGAAGGAACAAGAUUAUCAUUUGGAUGUAAGGGAGACCAUUGCACAUGCAAUUUCAACAACCCCCUUUUCCUUGAAGAUCGGUUAUUGUUCAGCCUUGUGAGUCUAGAAAUAGGAAAAACCCUCUUUCUUCCCUUGCUUCCUCCCAUCUUCCUUCUCCACCUCUCUCUUUUCUUUCCUCCUGAAGAGCCGUGGACAAAAGAGUGGGGGUGAGUGAAAGGAACCAGUCAGAUUGUUUUGAACAAAUCGCCCUGACUCCAGUCUUGCUCCUGCCGAGUUCUCUCUGGUUCUCACUUGUCACCGUCAGGAGCAGGAAGCCGGCUGGACACGGAGGACCCCCUGGGUCAUACUCACAGUCCAAGUGAUAGAACUGGCUACUCACAGAGGAAAUUUAGUGGAAAAUAAAAGCCGGUACUCCCUGACAGCAUCUCUCUUAGCCCCUAGACUCUCUGAUGGGCUAAGUGAUAGGGGGAUGCGAGAGAUCCUAAAGAGAUACAUUGGCUCGGAAAAGAAAACCGAUGCUCUGUGACCUCAUUGGCACACCCCUCAUUGGCACACCCCUUCUCCCCGCUGCCCUCCAGCCGGCUUUCCUCAGUUCCUUCUUCCCACAAAGUGCCCGUGAGCACGUGCAGCAUGCCCAGGAGUGUGCUAAGUGCUAAGACAAGUUCAAUGACCACCUCACCCGAGCAGUUUCACAUUUGGCUGAAGAAACCACAAGUCAUGCAGAUAAUGGAAACUGCUCAGAAGACCUGAUCUGCGAUCCAGGCAUUGUCACCUGCUAACCAUGUGAUCUCUAGGAAGGCAUUUAACUUCUCUGAGACGCCCUGUUUCUCUUUCAAGAAGAGGGCUGCUGAGAUCAAGUAGCAUUCAUGACGCUCUGAAAGUAUCUCAUUAUUUGUUUGCUGUUUUACGUCCCUUCCUCUCCUCCCCCAAUGUAAACUCCAUGAGACCAGGAGGCUUGGCUAAUUAUUCACUUCUGUAUCUCUGUACCCAGGACAGAGGCUGGCACAGGGCAAAUACUCAGGAAAUAAUUGCUGAGUGGAUGCAUGGAUUCUGGUUAUAGAAAUCUUGAAGGCUGAACCACUGACCUACCAAGACUUGCUUGGUAGGAUUUAUGAUGUAGGGGAGAAGAAGAGUAUUUCAGGAGUUCCUGUUGUGGCCCAGGGGAAAUGAAUCCGACUAGGAACCAUGAGGUUUCAGGUUCGAUCCCUGGCUUCGCUCUGCGGGUUAAGGAUCCAGCAUUGCCAUAAGCUGUGGUGUAGGUCACAGACACGGCUCAGAUCUGGUGUUGCUGUGGCUCUGGCAUAGGCCGGCAGCAACAGCUCCGAAUAGACCCCUACCCCUAGCCUGGGAACCUCCAUAUGC